UUUCAAGUGAAGUAUGGAAAUUUGGAAGAGGAGGGCAUCACACAGUAUCACAGUGUAGAGAAAGAAAGGGUCCUUGAUGAGGGUUUAGUGGUGAAGGAGUGCAUUUGCCUGGGAGAGGGUAUAAAACAGAGCAGGGUGGAGGGACCAGAGCAGCUGAAGAGUGGAAAAGCAGCACCAGCACCUUGUCAAGAUGAAACCCUGGACUACAAGAGCCAUUCUCCUCUCGGUCCUGACAGCAUGUCUUCUGUCAGGGGCUGAUGCAAGGAGCCUCCUUGAGGACUCUGAAGAGCUGGGAGAUGAUGAUUACCAGGCCAGCAAGAGAGAACUGGAUCUCAGCAACACUUUGGAAGACUCAGAGGAGCAAGAAGGAGCACUGG